AGCGACCCCAUGGACUGCAGCCCACCAGGCUCCUCUGUCCAUGGGAUUUUCCAGGCAAGUGUACUGGAGUGGGGUGCCAUCGCCUUCUCUGACACACUACCUAGAAUGCUUUAUUCUCUAAAGCUCACUCCUGCUGUUUAAAAGUGUCACCAUGUUAAGGAAUGAAAAAUUAUAGCGACUGGGGAAAUGUUUUCACCUUUUUUCAUUUCCCUAGUAAAAUUAAGCAAUAAUUUUCAUUCCCCUCAGUUCCUUUUGGAACCAAGGCUAGUAGUGGAUUAAAGGACAAAUAAAUGAAUGAACAAGUCUAUGGUGUUUCUUUCUUCUGCCUCAGAAAGAUGCAGUUUCUCCUGCCAGCAGGAGAAACAGGUUAGAUGCAAGGCAGUUCCCCCAUUCCAGAGAGCCUCUGUUUUUAGGCAGUUCUGAUUCAUGAAUUGGAGAAUUGCACUAAAUUAGUGUACUGUACAGCAUGGGCCUGGUUAAGUUAAAGUAGACACUCUGACCCCCUCCACCCCUCACUCUGACCACCAAGAGUUCAUUUCCCAGGGGCAUCUGUGGGUCCCAAACAAAGGGGACCACUGAAACCCUGUCCACAUUUACCCUAUCAUAGGCCAUGUGGUAACAGAAGUUUUCAUAUUUCUUGAACACCAGCAGGAUUCUUAACAUGCCCCAGAACAGAGACGCAUGGUCUUGGGUGAUGAUUUUUAAAAAAAGAUGUCAUCUCAUUUCAUUCUGUGGGAAUUAUUUUUUAAUCAUCUGUUUUAUUGGGAAAUUUCCCAGAGAUAAUGCAGUGAGAAACUAGCCUGGAAGAAGAUAGACAAGACAGGCACAACAGGGUCAGAGUUCUUUUUAAAAUACUUCAUUUUGGAGACCAAGAAUACAACUUGUAAAUCUUUUUUAUGCUUUUAUUAUGGUAUAUAAAUUAUGACAUUUUAGGAGAAGCCCAUAAAGCCAGCAGAAGCAAGAAAGUCAAGUUUCUUUUUUUGAGCUUUCCAUAGGUAGUAUAAUUUAAAUAAUUCUAUGGUAGAAUUUCAACACCUCUGAUGGAGCACGGUUGUUUACGAAGUAAGAACAGUAAUCCUCAUGUUAAAAGGUGGCAUUGCUACCCUAGGCAGCAGAUGGUGUUAUUAAAUACACAGGCAAAGUCUAAGGUCAUAAGGAACUAACAAUUAACCAGAAAUACGAUCUGCCACAGUCGUUUAAUGGGUAACCUACCAGAUAUAUGCCACUUGUAUUAUUGUGAGUGUUGGGAGGUGUAUUGUCAAGCUUCAGAGCAGUUGCACAAUCCAUUUAGAAAUAUUGUAAUUAUAUUCUUAUUUAAGCAUUUUGUGAAACAAAAAAACCAGAAAGAAAGUGAAAAUCAGUGUGAUUUCCUCAUAAUAUUGCUCUCUCUUGCCUGCUCUGAAAAAUACUGAUUCAGAUUGCACAAUUUCAUAGCCAUCCCUGAAUUUAAUUGGUCUCCCCAAACUAAUACUAUCAGGAUUUGGGGUUUUAUACUGCUAGUGGGCGGUGUUCUAAGACCUCUUUAUGUUAUCCGAGACAUCAUUUUUGCUCCUGCACAUUUUGUACUGUGAAGGUGAUGCGAAAAGAUUUAAACCUACACAAGUGCCAACAAGGGCAUGGCUUGGAAAAAAACAGAUGUGCAGAGGAGGGGCAAUGGAUGGUGGGGAGGCAAUGGGAAGUGUAGUCAGAGACUAACCAGCAAGCAAUGAGGACACUAUUAAAGUAAAGAAGUGGGCUUAGUUUCUAUUGUAAAUUAAAUAUAAAUAUGUCAAUAAAAGUAAGAGCUUUAUACAUAACAGCUCAAUUCCCUGUGGGUUUUUUCAAGGAGUUUUCCACAGGGAAUGUGGGAUUGAUUUUCUUUCCAGUUAGGGCUUUUGAGGAUGAGGAACUGAAUCCUAAAUUCACUCCAAGGAAAAAUAACCAAGAGGGCAGCAACCAAAUCUGAAAAGCAAAGACCCAGUGACUUGGUUAGAAUUAGGAAAAGUGAAUCUUGGCCCUUUGGCCAGAACUCCAAAGGGUAUCAGAGAGUUUAACUCCAACCAUCGUAUCAACCAAUCUGAAAAACAGCAUCUGGAAAAGCAAAAACAACCCCAGUUCCCCAGGUAAAUAGAAGACGAACAAUGGAAAACAGGGUCCAGAGGUCACUGGCUAAUCAGGGUAAAUAAGUGGGUGGACAAAAGCUGUUCUUUCAUUUUCCCACUGUUGGGUUUGAUGAGGAAGUCUCAAUCACGGAAGGAAAAAAAAAGCAUGCUAAUAAGAAUGUUUUUCACAUAUUUUGAUGUGUUUAUUUACUUUUCUCCAAGUUUAAAUUGAGUAAGGAAAGCACAGCAUCUGAAGACACAGACUGCUGAGUUGAGAGCUUUGUCUCCAAGCUCAGGUAGCUUGAUUUUUCCCUGUGGCCAGGACUCCUGCUGACACUUCCAGUCGUCCUCAGAAAAGCCAUUGAGCUACCCUUGGGUUGAAUGAAUGAGAACUUUCUGGAGAGCGGAAGACUGGUGGAGGUCCAGCUGGAAAAACAUAUGGCCACAGAGGCAGAAAGAGCGCUUCUUCAGGAUUGACUGCCUCCAAUGUACCUGGACCGAAGCCAGCGCUGCAUCCUCAGGCGCCCCUAGGGAUUGUGCGUGCAGGACGGCACCACCUCACAGCCCCGCUCUGAGAUAUGGGAGCUGUUGCUGCUCUUCCUGGAAUCUCUGCUGCUGCUGCUAAGUCGCUUCAGUUGUGUCCGACUCUGUGCGACCCCAUGGACUGCAGCCACCCAGGCUCCUCCGUCCAUGGAAUCUCUGCUACAGGGACAGAAACUCUUUAAGAUUGCCUGACUUGUCAUCCAAGUCAUCCAUCCUUUUCUUCAUUUGAGACUUGAAAUUCGAACUGUGGUGCUGGAGAAGACUCUUGAGAGUCCCUGGGACAGCAAGAUCAAACCAGUCAGUCCUAAAGGAAAUCAACCCUGAAAAUUCAUUGGAAGGACUGAUGUUGAAGCUGAAGCUCCA